AAGUCGUAACAAGGUCUCCGUAGGUGAACCUGCGGAGGGAUCAUUAACACUGUAUGGAGAUUAGGAUCAGCUCUGCUCAGCUCUGCUGACACUUUUCUUUCACACCAACCCGCGAACUGAACUGAUGCCCAACCCCCUCCUUGGUUGCUGCUACCAGCAGCCCAGCCGAGUGUGUUUUUUCUUGUAUUUCUACAAACCAUAAACCAACUGUUGUGACUGAAUAGCGGACUCUGUCCUGUCUAUUUCUGUAACAUUAUCAAUGUAAGCACAACUCUUAGCAACGGAUAUCUCGGUUCUC
rnacentral:misc_RNA from 1 species